rnacentral:rRNA from 1 species
CUCUCAGCCUAUCUUGCGCAGCUUAGGUGGGAGGCUAUGAACCUAAUCCUCCGGGAUUAGGGGAGCCAUCAGUGAGAUACCACUCUUGGUAAGCUAGAGCGCUCAGUCUUUACCGUUAUCCGGUAAGACGACAGUUUCAGGCGGGCAGUUUGACUGGGGCAGUCACCUCCCAAAAGGUAAUGGAGGUGUGCAAAGGUUCCCUCAGGCUGGACGGAAAUCAGCCAUAGAGUGUAAAAGCAAAAGGGAGCUUGACUGCGAGACUGACAUGUCAAGCAGAGACGAAAGUCGGCUUUAGUGAUCCGACGGUGCUGCGUGGAAAGGCCGUCGCUCAACGGAUAAAAGUUACUCUAGGGAUAACA